rnacentral:rRNA from 1 species
CGCUGCUAUACAUGCAGUCGAGCGGACAGAAGGGAGCUUGCUCCCGGAUGUUAGCGGCGGACGGGUGAGUAACACGUGGGUAACCUGCCUGUAAGACUGGGAUAACUCCGGGAAACCGGAGCUAAUACCGGAUAGUUCCUUGAACCGCAUGGUUCAAGGAUGAAAGACGGUUUCGGCUGUCACUUACAGAUGGACCCGCGGCGCAUUAGCUAGUUGGUGGGGUAAUGGCUCACCAAGGCGACGAUGCGUAGCCGACCUGAGAGGGUGAUCGGCCACACUGGGACUGAGACACGGCCCAGACUCCUACGGGAGGCAGCAGUAGGGAAUCUUCCGCAAUGGACGAAAGUCUGACGGAGCAACGCCGCGUGAGUGAUGAAGGUUUUCGGAUCGUAAAGCUCUGUUGUUAGGGAAGAACAAGUGCGAGAGUAACUGCUCGCACCUUGACGGUACCUAACCAGAAAGCCACGGCUAACUACGUGCCAGCAGCCGCGGUAAUACGUAGGUGGCAAGCGUUGUCCGGAAUUAUUGGGCGUAAAGGGCUCGCAGGCGGUUUCUUAAGUCUGAUGUGAAAGCCCCCGGCUCAACCGGGGAGGGUCAUUGGAAACUGGGAAACUUGAGUGCAGAAGAGGAGAGUGGAAUUCCACGUGUAGCGGUGAAAUGCGUAGAGAUGUGGAGGAACACCAGUGGCGAAGGCGACUCUCUGGUCUGUAACUGACGCUGAGGAGCGAAAGCGUGGGGAGCGAACAGGAUUAGAUACCCUGGUAGUCCACGCCGUAAACGAUGAGUGCUAAGUGUUAGGGGGUUUCCGCCCCUUAGUGCUGCAGCUAACGCAUUAAGCACUCCGCCUGGGGAGUACGGUCGCAAGACUGAAACUCAAAGGAAUUGACGGGGGCCCGCACAAGCGGUGGAGCAUGUGGUUUAAUUCGAAGCAACGCGAAGAACCUUACCAGGUCUUGACAUCCUCUGACAACCCUAGAGAUAGGGCUUUCCCUUCGGGGACAGAGUGACAGGUGGUGCAUGGUUGUCGUCAGCUCGUGUCGUGAGAUGUUGGGGUUAAGUCCCGCAACGAGCGCAACCUUUGAUCUUAAUUGCCAGCAUUCAGUUGGGCACUCUAAAGGGGACUGGCGGGUGACAAACCGGAAGAAAGGGUGGGGAUUAACGUCCAAAUCAUCCAUGCCCCCUAAUGAACCUGGGGCUACACACCGUGCUUACAAUGGGAACGGAACCAAGGGCCUGCAAGAACCGCCAAGGGUUUAACCCAAUCCCCAUAAAAUCUGGUUCUCAAGUUCGGAAACGGAAGUCUGGGAAAUUCG